UAGCCGUAAACGAUACUCGCUAGGUGUCGGUCACGGUGCGACCGUUGUCGGUGCCGUAGGGAAGCCGUGAAGCGAGCCACCUGGGAAGUACGGCCGCAAGGCUGAAACUUAAAGGAAUUGGCGGGGGAGCACAACAACGGGUGGAGCUUGCGGUUUAAUUGGAUUCAACGCCGGAAAUCUUACCGGGACCGACAGCAACAUGAAGGCCAAGCUGAAGACUUUGCCGGAUUAGCUGAGAGGAGGUGCAUGGCGUAGUCGUGU
rnacentral:rRNA from 1 species